rnacentral:ncRNA from 2 species
AUUGCAUAGCCGGGAAGAGGUGCAAACUGCUUAAAAGGGAAGUCCGGUGAAAAGCCGGCACGGUCCCGCCACUGUGAGGGGGAGCCUGUUCUGCAAAGUGCCACUGGAUUGAAUCCGGGAAGGCGCAGACAGCGAUGAGCCUUAGUCAGGAGACCUGCCUGUUCUGACACACCGUU